UACGGGGGGGGCAAGCGUUGUUCGGAAUUACUGGGCGUAAAGGGCUCGUAGGCGGCCAACUAAGUCGGAUGUGAAAUCCCCAGGCUUAACCUGGGAACUGCAUCCGAUACUGGAUGGCUUGAAUUCGGGAGAGGGAUGCAGAAUUCCAGGUGUAGCGGUGAAAUGCGUAGAUAUCGGGAGGAACACCGGUGGCGAAGGCGGCGACCUGGGUGGAUACUGACGCUGAGGCGCGAAAGCGUGGGGAGCAAACAGG
rnacentral:rRNA from 1 species